rnacentral:rRNA from 1 species
UAACCGCAUAGGGGAGCCGAAGGGAAACCGAGUCUUAAUUGGGCGUUAAGUUGCAGGGUAUAGACCCGAAACCCGGUGAUCUAGCCAUGGGCAGGUUGAAGGUUGGGUAACACUAACUGGAGGACCGAACCGACUAAUGUUGAAAAAUUAGCGGAUGACCUGUGGCUGGGGGUGAAAGGCCAAUCAAACCGGGAGAUAGCUGGUUCUCCCCGAAAGCUAUUUAGGUAGCGCCUCGUGAACUCAUCUCCGGGGGUAGAGCACUGUUUCGGCUAGGGGGCCAUCCCGGCUUACCAACCCGAUGCAAACUGCGAAUACCGGAGAAUGUUAUCACGGGAGACACACGGCGGGUGCUAACGUCCGUCGUGAAGAGGGAAACAACCCAGACCGCCAGCUAAGGUCCCAAAGUCAUGGUUAAGUGGGAAACGAUGUGGGAAGGCCCAGACAGCCAGGAUGUUGGCUUAGAAGCAGCCAUCAUUUAAAGAAAGCGUAAUAGCUCACUGGUCGAGUCGGCCUGCGCGGAAGAUGUAACGGGGCUAAACCAUGCACCGAAGCUGCGGCAGCGAACGUAUCACUUAAAA